CCCAGACAGGUGCAUCUUGCAGCUGAGCCACCUCAGGGGGCAGUGGGGACAGGUCACCUCAUCCCAUCAAACCAAGCAGUGCUGGGUCUCAAAGAGGCUUAGAUGGAAGAGCCCGCUCCCUCAUGGAGGAAGGGGCUCCCCAGAGACGUGCUUAAACCUGAACUCCUGAGAGCGUUUCCAGCAGGACGCUCCUGCCCCUCGAGCAUGAAGAGAACAUCAGGUAAUCUCGUUCACAUGGUAUCUCCGGUCUCCAGCUCCAUUUCCUGCAUCAGGGCAAACAAGCCCAUCAGCUCCCAGAAUCCCAACUUUUUGACCUCCUUCCACUCAGCAGUGGGGUUUCUCCACCCCUCUCACCACACCUGUCAGCCUCUGAAUGAUGAAAGGCCUGAAUGUCAGAGUCAACAGAACAAGCAAACUCCAGUUCCAGGCAGUAGGGCCUGUGUGUACUCAGCCCCUCUGGAAACCAGGUCUGAAAUGAGGAGUAAGGACCCCAGCCCAGUAACAGUAGGAAUGGGCAGAGCAGGCCUGUACCAGGAUGCUUUCCCCUGGGCUGCACAGCCGGGGGCUUAGCCAAGCUGAUUACAGAAUGAGCCCUAACUGAGAGGCACCAUGUACCUCCCCCUAAAGAGCCAGACUUCAGUGGUUAUCCGUGAGGGUCAAUGGAAGUCUUGGUUGCUGAAGGAAGUUCUGUCCUCCCAAGUGGGUGUAUCGAGGGAGCGAGCUGGUCACUGGAUUUCCCACUUCAGUUCCAGGGACUGGUUAAGCAGCCAAAGCAGGUCUAGGGGUUUCUCCAGCAGCUCCUAGAAAACCAACAGAAGCAGAAGGAAGUGCAGGCGGAGCUACAGACACAGCAGGAGGAAUACCUGUGAGAGAUCCUGCAAAGGGAAAUCAACCCAGGGUCUGCUAUCCCCAUGGACAAAAAGAGCAGAUGCGGAGAGCAUGCCUGGGCUGUGCUGAGAAGUUUGGGAUGAGCGUGACCCAGGAAGGAGUGGACUAAAAGACGGUCACCUUGCUGAAGGGCUGAGUUCCCAGCCAAUAAAUUGCCAGAGCGACUAUCGGCGAGGGUGCUAGCCCAGCAAGAAAGCUGUGACACCAGGCCUGGCCAGAAAGGGGCACCUGUCAGUGAGUGAACUCUGUUACAAGCCUGCUUCCAUUAUGGUAUUGGAGAGUGGUGGGAAUGGCCUAUGGGAAAGGAUGGCUGGAGUGGUCAUACAGAAGGGGCAGCAGGGUCCAGUGAUGAGAGCAGGGAACGGGUUGUACUGCAGCCCUGCCACUGAGUGGUAACGUGAUCCUGUCCAGGUCACUCUCCCACCUGGUGCCUCACUCUCUCUAGCUUUGAAAUGGGGAUCAUCCUGACCCACAUUAAGAAAGUGUUUGAUCCUCUGCUCUUGCUUCCCAAAUCCCUGCCCUCCUUGCCCCACACAGGUCUCUGCCCUGUUCCUCAAACCUCCAUGCCCAUAUUAGUGCCUGUGUCUCCCCCCAACUGCAAGGUCUCAUGUACAGUCUCCCGCCAGCAAACUGAAGCUGCCCCUAGAUCCAGAACAGGAAUCACAGUUCCUGUGCACUGCCCUGAAUGGAGUAUAGACCCUGGGCAUGGAGAAGGCCAACAGCCACUUCCAGGUAGAUCAUCAACCUACUCCUCUGUCCCAGGAGCAGGAAGGCCUCUGGUCCUUGCUCUCUUCGGUAGCUGGAACUGCUAAGUUGGGGGUGUGGUGGGUGCAGAUGGGAACAGGCCACAGGAUUAAUCAAGUGUCAGGGAGAGACUCCCCCUCUGUGGGAGAUGAUGUUAUGCCUCUGUGGGGAACCCCUUCCUUGCGGAUGCUGUGCUUCGGUUCCUGGACUCUGCCAGGAAGCCCAGAUCCCAUCCCUAGCAGCUUGGCUGUUCCCUACCCUGCUGUGCACCAGACCCUCUGCAGAGAGCUGCUCUGGGCAAGGACUGAGGAGCCAGCUGUCACCCUGGCAGGUGUAGCCCCAGAUUCUAUAACCCUGACACUUGAUCUCCCUCCGCUGGCAGGCUCUGAGCAAGGCCUCCCCAGAUAUCAUGGAUGAGGAGCUCUAGAUCCUGCUGACAGCAACCCCCAGCACAGACAAACUCCAGCACAUCUUGGAGGUCUCUCCUUGAAGACUGAGAGAGAAUUCUGGUUCACAUACGUGAGCACAAGGAGGAACCACUUUGGAGUUUUCUCCUUUCCUUUUACUGAUUUUGCUAGAAAAGAGACAUCGCUGUUUAGAAGGCAGCUGCUCUCCACUUCUCAUUAUGGGAACCCCUCACAAAGAGUUGGGGCUGGAAUAGUGCUCUGAGCGCAAUCCCCUCUGGUGGUGACCUGGGCCAUCUUUGGACCAUCUGGCGAGAACUCUGAACCUCCUGUCUCUCAGAGUCUCAGCACUGAUUGGGCUCUGUCCCAGCUUCUCACAGAGAUGUAUCCUGCAGCCAGCCCAGCUCAGGGAGCAGUGGGGACAGGUGAUCUCCUCCUGUCAAACCAAGCAACAUGGGUCUCAUUGAGGCUCAGAUGGAAGAUCCCAUGCAUCUCCUGGAGGUAAGAACUGUUCACUCUUCCUGCCACUUGGGGCUUUUGCAACAAACAGGGGUCUCCUGCUACAUAUCCUGGUUGGGAGCUUUUGCUAUCCUUGGAUCCCAGCCCUGGUACAGAGACCUAUUUCUCAUCAUGAUAUUCUCAGAGGAUGCGUCCAGGAUCCUGGAGACUGUUUCCUGCAGGAGGUUUGAGCGGGGAGAAAUCACUCAUUGUCACGACCCCAGGGGCCUUCAACCCAGGUCUGCAGGGUUCAUGGAAGCAGCCGCACUCCAACCCUCCACUUGGAAGCCUGCUGAAAAUUGCUUACCUAGGACCCAUGAAGUUCAGCCCCAGUCUGAGGCUCCACUCCUGAGGUCCUAUUGGAGGAGUCCCAGAGAAGCUAAUUGGCCCUCUGGCCCUGCUUAAGGCAGCAGCAGGAAAAGGAAGCUGACUGAACACCAGGGCUGCUCCCUGUUCUGGACCGUGUGCUGCCGGUUUCUGCUGCUGCUCCCCUGGCUUGAUUUCCUGGCAUCUGAUUUGUGGUUGUGAUUGCAAGUUUGUCUUGUGCUUCUGAUCUUCCAGUAUCCUGACCCAGCUGACUCUCGACUCCUGUCAUGGCUCACCAUCCAUCUUGGAGCUGAACACCAGAUGGGAGCUGAUAGAUUGUCCUUGGUGGGCCAUGUUCUUGUGUGUGAUGGAGCUGUGUGCCAGAGAGGGCCAGAAGCAGAUGCACCACACAUGGCCAGGACUGGGCUAAACAGCCUGUAAUGCCAGGUGAGUCAAACCAUGGCCACAUACAGAUACCUUGGGCAUCCAUGGGGACUGAAUGUGGGCACUUCGCUGCCAAGAGCACAACUCACUCCAUUAUGAUAGUGACCCCUACCAGCCCCUCUGAGGGGGUCAUUAUUAACUCUGUUACCUGGCGCACAGGGAUGGAAAGCAACUGGCUGCAAGGUUACACACAACAUCACUGCCAGAGGCAGGAAGGAACCAUGGUACUGAUACCAGUCCAGCUCCAACCACUAGACUCCACCCACUUCCAAAGCCAGAGAACCCCAGGAGCCCUGACUCUGACAGCUAGGCCUUAAAUGACAAGACCAACCUCCCUCCCCCUCAGGAAUCCGUAGACGGGACCAUCUGCUAAGCUCCCCUUUGCAAUGGCACUGCCAGAGACCAUUGCUAGUGGGUGCCAAGUAACUGAGCAGGGAACUCCUUUGAGAGACUCCUAGAGACUUGCAGGUGUUUCACUGUGACCCUCUGGGAACCGUGGAAAGAAAGCUGCAUUGAAGAGACUCUCCUGCUCUAGCAAAGGGUUUCUAUUCUCCUAGAGAGUCAGCCAGUGAGGCCAGUUUGCAGAAUGUGGAAGAGCCGUUUGGUGAUGGGUUGGGGGAUUCACCAUGUAGGUGGCAGCAGCUGCAGUGCCUGGGGUCCCCAUGGGCCAAGGCUCCAUUCCUGACACACCAGGCUAAUCUCCCACUGCUCUCAGGGGGAUUUGGCUUUAGCUUCUGGGCCUGCGUGCCUAGAGAGAAGACUCAGGUACUUCCAUCAAACUGCUCAAUGGCAAAUGCAGCCAUCCACAGAAGUGAAGAAUGGAAGCGAAAGAGCAAAGCUGGACCAUCCACUGAGCUGCUGCAAUCAAGUGAGCUGAGCUGGGGAGAGAAGAGGGAGAACUCGAAGGUGGCUGGCGGCUGCAGGGAGGAAAAGCAGUUUGGGAGCCAGGAGAAUAGAAAUAAAUAGUUAAUGAUGAAUACUGCAGGCUUUGUGAUGUGUGGUGAAGGGUUAACAGUGGGUCUCUUUACUAUCACACUAAACUUUAAAAUAGCUGUGUACGAUAAAAUAGCUGUGUACUAUAAAGCUAAGAGGUCACUUAGGGCUUGAAGUCCCAGAUUCUGUCACUAUUGCCUGCUUCUACCAGCUGAUCUCAACCCACCAAAUCCCUGAGGUGGUAGCAGUAAUGAUCUCCUGUCCUC